rnacentral:misc_RNA from 1 species
GAUGAAGAACGUAGCGAAAUGCGAUAAGUAAUGUGAAUUGCAGAAUUCAGUGAAUCAUCGAAUAUUUGAACGCACAUUGCGCCCGUCAGUAUUCUGGCGGGCAUGCCUGUUCGAGCGUCAUUACGCCCCUCAAGUCCCCUGUGGACUUGGUGUUGGGGAUCGGCGAGGCUGGUUUUCCAGCACAGCCGUCCCUUAAAUUAAUUGGCGGUCUCGCCGUGGCCCUCCUCUGCGCAGUAGUAAAACACUCGCAACAGGAGCCCGGCGCGGUCCACUGCCGUAAAACCCCCCAACUUUUUAUAGUUGACCUCGAAUCAGGUAGGACUACCCGCUGAACUUAAGCAUAUCAAUAAGCGGAGGA